CUGUUGUGCAGUCAAACAGUUUAACUCUGUGACCCAAGGAACCACCAUCGCUAUGGUCUGCCACUACAGAUUUUCUUCACUCUUAGGAAUAAGCAGUUCUUCAGACUCAAGUGCCUGAGGUAGGACUUCUCUUUUGGUUUUAAAAGAAACAAAAGCAGAUUUGGCAACAGCCCUUCUUUAAAAACAAAAACAAAAACAAAAAACAAAGAACUCUGAAUCAAAUUUGGAUCUCUACAACAAAACAAAAGCUAGAGAUCUUUCUAAGUCAGCUUAUUACUGUGUUUCUGCUGUUUGUUCUUACUUGUUCUUUGCAAGGGAACUCAAAUUAUUUUAUAAAUACCAGAGUGACUUCUGUUGUGAUUAUUUUCCAGAAAAACAUAUAUCUUUUGUAUGUCAAAGUUUUCUAUAUUCUUGAAACUGUCUUAAAACGUUUUUAACUUGGUUAUUGUUGGAGAGUGUCCUCAUCUUUGGAGGUAUUUAAGAGAUGUGUGGACGUGGCACUAAGGGACAUAGUUUGGUGAUGAGAUUUGGUAGCUCAGGUUGAUGGUUGGUCUUGGUGAUUGUGAAGGUAUUUUCCAACCUAGAUGAUUGUAUGAUUAUAAGAGUAUGAUUCUUAUCUGUGAUUUCACAGAAGAGUACUAUGGGACACAGUUGCUCUCCAUGCCACCUAAAGGACAGACCACAGAAAUGUCCAUUCCUUCUCAGAAAGAGCUCUGAUGACUGCAGGCAUUAAAUGCAGCUUCUUGUCAUUCAGUGGCUCACAGUCUCACAGAAAAUCUGCAGCCUGUGGCUGGCAUUCCUCUCUGAAUUCUGAACCCGUUCCUUAGGUGAACGCUGGGAGAUGUGUCAUCUUAAGUUGUGGUGGCUGGCUGAUGGAAGAAAGAGGAACAAAGAUGUUUUUUUUUUUUUUUUCUUUGUGGAGAAUCUUUUAAUUCUCUGAGAUUACCUCAGUGAUUCUCACCUUUUGUGCAGCUGAAUGAGUCCCUCCUAGAAAAAAUAAUUGUUCUGCAAAUCUUCUCCAAACACAUGGCUGAAUAUCUAGGCAGCAGUUCUCUUGUUAGUAUACAUGAAACCUCAUGAAUUUUGUGAUGGAUCAUCUGCCUGUCAGCUUGGAGUCCACGGCUACAUAUUUGCUCAUACAGACUGUUGAGAUCUAAGCUCUUUAAUUUGCAAUUGUAAUAUGUUAUUUUCUACAAAUAAAAUGCAACUCAGUUACAGGACAUUCAGAAUCACUCAAUUCUAAUCUAGAAUGUCAGCAAGCCCAUUUCACUGACAUUAUUGUUUUGACACUGAGUGUAAUAGAAAUGAUUAAGCCAGGAAGAGAGCAGCACUUACUUGACUGCUGUCAGCUACUGAACCACAAUAGCCCAGCACACAGACUCUAUUCAGCUGAUGAAACGUGAAACUUGAUAUGCUACUGCGAAAUGCUAGUAACCACAAUGCUAUAUUUCAAUCUCUACUUGAUUUUAUAAAUGUUUAGUCUCACUCCGUUAGACCCAGUCUCAUACAAAAGCAAUUCCUGUUUCACAACUGGGAGAAAUAGCAACCAAACUUCUUUCUUUUAAAUUCUCUGUAUCCAGGCAUGUGUCAAGGCCUUUUUUAUUAUUUUUUCAAAUGGAAGAAUGUAUUCAGAUGGGGGAUGAAAAUGGAAAGGAUACGAACAAUAGUAGCCCUUGUGACUUUAAUGUGGAGAUUAAGAUUCAUGAUGGUAGGAAUGUAAUGGGAUAGAAAUAUAUAUCAUGACCCUUCUACCCUUCCAACAGAAUGUAUACUUUGUUCUGAAAUAAUUUGUUAUUGCUAAGCUUGGAGAUGCAGGCAUUUGAACUGAGUGCUAAGUGGGUAUUUCUUCAAAAUAGGUGUUUGCUUUCCUUUACAUUUUAUAUAAUUUUAUAUCAUUAUGCUGUCAAGUGUCCUAUGGUAUAAGACUAACACAUUGGGCACAGAGAAGGCAGUGUAAUGUUAUAAGUAAAUACCUCUGUCUCUCUCUUAUGUCUGAAGUGAAAACUCCCUUUUCCUCUUGGCUAUGUGCAUAGAAGAUCCAUAGUGUUCCUUCAAGAUACUUCAAAUUAUAGUUAUAAAUAGUCUUAACAUUUUUUUCUGAUUUUAUAGUUCAAAAGAUUUUAGUUUAGACUACAGUUGUUCAGUAAGAAUUAUACCCAUAACAUCUAAGGCACUGCAGAAUAAGUAUUUAAUUCACGCAAUUCAGAUUAGAUUCGAAAUUCAGAAAGAGUAGGUGACAAUGAGACAUAGAGAGCCUAUGGGAACUGACUCUCAAGGUACAAAGCAUCCCCUGCAACAGGGUUAUUUGAUGUCUGUCCCCACUGGAAGUAGGUGGCACCUAGCUGUCUCCACAUACAUGGAGGCAUUUACGUGAUGGAUGCCCCGUUCCUGGAGACACUCAAGAUCAGGCUGGAUGGGGCUCUGAGCAACCUGGUCGAGCUGUAGGUGUCCCUGUUCAGUGCAGGGGAGUUGGACUAGAUGACCUUUAAGGGUUCUAUCCAACUCAAACAAUUCUGUGAUACUGAUUCUAUGAUUACGCUGCCAAAUAGUGCUAUUCUUCUACUGAUACAGCUUGAAGGGAUCUGACUUUGAAUGAUGAGAAACAAAAUGUGGGAAAAUGAAAAGAUUGCCUGCAAAACUUUCAGCAGAGUAGAAGCCCUCAGGUUUCUUAUAAAGUAAUUAUAUGGUUACAUAAAUAACUUUAUACAUUUACCUCUUAAAUAAAAUAUCACCUUAGGGAAGAGCCCGAUUUCUUUUACUGCUAUAUAAAUAGAGAAUGUGUUUGUAUUACCUAUAUCAUGUUCAUAACAACUCCUACGAUUGUUGUCUCUCCGUGUACAUAUGUUCGAUAUUACAAUUAUUCAAAGGUUCUCUUCCUGAUGAAAGUGUGAGCAUUUCCUACUGACAUGCUAUCUGACAUAGAAAAGAGAGGUGUUGGACACUCCUAACGGACUUGAAUCCUUUGUAGGUUUCUCAUCUUCUCAGGUAGGCAGCCAUGAAACACUGACUCAAGAGAGAAUGUGGAUAAGUUCUUAUAUUUUAGAUUCUGGAGCACUUUUAGCAUUAUUUGAACAGUGCUGUCCCAGAGAUAGGAGAACUUCAGUAUACACUUCAUUGAUUUAGAGAAAGGCAAAACUCUGGACUAAACGGCAAAUGGUAUGGUAACCUUAUUUAUUCAUAGCAGUAAUAAAAUCGGAGAUAUACAUGCAAGUGGGCAGUAGACUAAAAUAACUAUAUAUCCUGGGGCACACUAAUUGACAUAGUUUAUAGGCCAAAAAAAGUAGAAAAGAACUGGCUAACCAGGCAAGGAGCAUGAAUGGGGCAUGAGUUCAUGUUUGGGAGCUGGAAAUUAUGGGUCAGUCACUAGCUUUGCUGUAAUUUUUGGCAUACCAAAACAUAAUCACUUUACCCAUUCUGUAAAACCAUCAUCCUCCUACGCAAUCUCCAGGCUGUGAUGAGAGUAAAGGAAGCACAAAUGCUUCCCAUGGAAGCUCACUGAACAGGCCUGCCCUUCCAUGACAAUGUCUGCUCAGCCAGGAAGAACAGAGAGAGAGAUCAGGACAGGGUUUGACACGAGCUGGGAAGGCAACAGCUUAUUCUUCCCUUAGCUUGCAGUAAAUUUUAAGGUUUGAAAAUGCAGAUCCUGCUCCAAAUGUUUUAAAAAGAAAACAAAAUGCAGGGCUGCAUGUUUACAAAAACAAUCAGGAAUGGCAAACUGUUUUACCUUUAUAUGUGCAGCAUGUUCAGGUUUAGCUUUUUAAACUGUUUCAACUUUUUGAAAUAUUUUUUCAUUCUCUUAUUUUAAACUCACUCAAAUAUGACAAUGUGUUCUGAAAGAAGAAAAGGAGCUUUUUCUGUGGCCUGAAUCUCCCUAUGGAAGUAGUUGCACUUUCCUCCCGUGGCCAGCGUGACUUUCCUAGAAGAUAACACACCGCUGGCUCUGCACACACACACACUGUGCGCGUUUCAGCUCCCAGCCAUAACAUGUCUUUAGCAAAGGUUUGGGGUUUCGCGCUUUGGGCUGGCCAGGCUCAGAGUGAAGAAAGGGAGACUUACUCUGUGGUUUCACAAUUGGCUGAGCCCAUCCCGCUGUGGGCUGUCGCCGAAAGCUGCACUCUGGCUUUUCCCACUGCAGAACAGGUUGCUCUAUGGCCAUCCCUCUGCUCACACAGGGAGAUG
rnacentral:lncRNA from 1 species